ACGAACGCUGGCGGCGUGCUUCACCCAUGCAAGUCGAACGGUGAAGCGCCUUCCUUUUUGGUGGGUGUGGAUGAGUGGCGAACGGGUGAGUAACACGUGAGUAACCUGCCCCCUUCUUCUGGAUAACCGCAUGAAAGUGUGGCUAAUACGGGAUAUUCUGGGUCUGUCGCAUGAUGGGUCUGGGAAAGAUAUUGUUUCGGUGGGGGAUGGGCUCGCGGCCUAUCAGCUUGUUGGUGGGGUGAUGGCCUACCAAGGCGGUGACGGGUAGCCGGCCUGAGAGGGUGGACGGUCACACUGGGACUGAGACACGGCCCAGACUCCUACGGGAGGCAGCAGUGGGGAAUAGUGCACAAUGGGCGCAAGCCUGAUGCAGCGACGCCGCGUGAGGGAUGGAGGCCUUCGGGUUGUGAACCUCUUUCGCCAGUGAAGCAGGCCUGCCUCGUUUGUGGGUGGGUUGACGGUAGCUGGAGAAGAAGCGCCGGCUAACUACGUG
rnacentral:rRNA from 1 species